GAAAAUCAGCAAAAUGGAAGAAAUUAGAAGAACUUUGUCGGAGAGCUUCAGUCGGAUCGCCUUCAAGAAAGAAGACAGCGGCUUUGACGAGAUAUGUGUCACCAAGAUGUCCACUCGCAGCUGCCAGGGAUCGACUCGGUCAUCAAGCCCCCUGGACACUAUCCCUGAGGACCGGAAGGUGCAGCGGACGCAAGCGGCUUCACACCCCUUCGAGAAGCCGGCC